rnacentral:lncRNA from 1 species
GGGAAGGGUGGUUUUCUUUAUCAGAAGGUUCGUCUUUUUUAAUCGCUCUAAACAGAAAGGAAGUAACCUACAAUAAUAGUUGCAGACCAAACUUUGAGAUGUUGACUCAUCAUGUAUGAUGAGUAAGGCUACAUUAAUAACGCGAUGGUCAAACUUUACGUGUAGUUACGCUUGACUAUCCUUCAUCUCUUACUAGCUACUCUCUUUUUUUCCUUCAUUUUUUUCUCUUUAUAUAUUGGUUUGCUAAGUUUCUUCAAUAAUAUCAUAUCGAUCUUUACUUCAAAAAGAAAGUAUUUAUUUUUUAUUUUGUCUGCGCACUAUUGACAGAAAAGAGAGAUCGAAUGAAUGACCUUACUCUUUGAGCAACAAGCUAUUUACAUUUUUUUAUCAAAGAAAGUCGAUUUGAGUCCAUAUAUUUACUAUUGUAUAAAAAGUGGUACGCCUAUCAUAUUUUGGGAACAUAUAUAUGUUUCACCAAUGUAUUAGUUCACCUAUACUGAGAUUAAAAAAUUACUGAACAAAUAUGGUAGAUUACAAGUCAAGCUUAACAGGAAACUGUUAAUCUUAUUCAAUAUUGUUAUUAGAAUCUUGCACACUAUGCGUACUAUAUCUAACGAGUAUUUUACAAAAACGAAACAAAAAACUAACAUUAAGAAGGAAUUUUAUGGCCUACAUUUAUCCACCCAAGUAAACUUUCCUAAAAAAAUAGGAAGAAACAUUCAAAUUGUAAAAAAUUGGAUGAGGAAACCAUGAUUAGCUAGCUAAAAUUAGGAGAAGGGUUUCGUCAGUCACUUUCUUUAUUAUUAAGCGGGGGAAAAUGAGAUGCAUGCAUUUACAACAUGAGCAAACAAAUUGUCACGAGUCUGACAGCUUUCAUCAAUAUGCAAGGCUCCCUCUUUUAUCACUUGUUUUAUUCUGAUCACCUAAAUAUUGUCAUGUUAUAAACACUCGUCACACUUCACUACUGUACUUGCAAAUUAGCCCAACCAAUCAUACAUGCUUAAACAACUGUAAAACGUAAAAACUCACGUAAAUUAUAUUCUUUUUUCUAAAAUGAUCUAAUAAUGGAGACAUUUUCUAGAAGAGUGUCAUAUCGUUGUAUGAUGUUAUCAAUCUACGUGUUGUAAUAUGAAAAAAAUGACAAAUAUGACAUGUUACGGACCUAGAAUACACCUAGAGUAUAAUAAUGUGAAUCAAAUACAAGUGUAAUACAAGUCACGUAAAUUAUAACUAUGUAACUGUGACACAAUUCACAUCAAAAUUACUCCUUAUAAUGACACUACUAAUUUUGCUACAUAACAUACAAAGAAGCACGAUAUUGCCUAUAAAAACCUCAUAAUUUUAUGACCAUAUAUGUGGGUAAAAUUACCUUUUUAACCCUGAGAUUUAAUUUGCUCACAUUGAAAACCACCGCCCCAACUAUUUUCCUAAUAAAACCAUACAUAUCCAUUUCAAGCUACAACGAGUGGAGAAAAUCACCAUCUUUAUGAUCCACCACCCCCACUGAAUUCCCCCAGAUAUGAAGUACCUAAUUACAUUUACUACCAUUUUUUUUUAAAAAUAUCUGCUUGUGCAGCAAGUAAACAUGAUGCUGUCCGUACACGGUCACCGACUCCGGCAAAUCGCAUGCCGGAACAUGUGGCUCCAGCGGUUGAAAAAACCUUUUUUCCGGUGACUCUGUGAGCCUGGACUUGGGGAAAGGCAUGCAAUGGUUGAGGAGAUAAAACCAGGCUUAUAAAAUUGUCCUCGUAUUUGAGGUUGCCUGCCAUGUGACACUUAGUUGUAAGUUACACACAAAAAUAAGGUAAAAUUUUCAGAUGGUGAAAAAUUUACAUUUAAAAACCUCUAAGUACAUAGCAUAAGGCCAUAAACUCGUAACGCCAUAUUCUUAUUUCUACUAGUGCAAUGACGAAAACACCCCCGACUGGUGAGCUCGGUAACUGAACGUUAAUUAGUAAUGAAUAGCCAUUCAAUGGGGAGUAAUAUCACUAAUUAAUCUAAUUUUCAGUCAAAGCAGAACCCCAUGUGUCCUGUCACGUGACCCGAAUCCCGAAUUCCAAGAAUAAGUUUUUUCUCCAGCCGCUGAGUCAUCUCGGCCCCCACCCACACUUGACCCUUGCACCCUUCGGAUCUCCUUCUCUCACCGGUCCCACUUCUCCACGUGUCACGCACCCCUGCCCGAAUUAUG